rnacentral:rRNA from 1 species
AACGAACGCUGGCGGCAUGCCUAACACAUGCAAGUCGAACGAGACCUUCGGGUCUAGUGGCGCACGGGUGCGUAACGCGUGGGAAUCUGCCCUUGGGUACGGAAUAACAGUUAGAAAUGACUGCUAAUACCGUAUUAUGACUUCGGUCCAAAGAUUUAUCGCCCAGGGAUGAGCCCGCGUAGGAUUAGCUUGUUGGUGAGGUAAAGGCUCACCAAGGCGACGAUCUUUAGCUGGUCUGAGAGGAUGAUCAGCCACACUGGGACUGGGACACGGCCCAGACUCCAACGGGAGGGGGCGGUGGGGAAUAUUUGACAAUGGGCGCAAGCAUGAGCCAGCAAUGCCGCGUGAGUAAUGAAGGCCUUAGGGUUGUAAAGGUCUUUAACCCGGGAAGAUAAUGACUGUACCGGGAGAAUAAGCCCCGGCUAAGUCCGUGCCAGCCGCCGCCGUAA